rnacentral:rRNA from 1 species
GAUUAGUAAAAAUCAAACCAAAACACAAGAAAAUUCACAAGAAAACUCUCAAGGCAAGUGUGCACCAUGUGGGAUUUUCUCUCACUAGAUUGAAAACAUCAAUCUCUAAGUCACUUUUACUAGGAGCUCUUUCUAGAUUCUAUGGGUAGUGGUGCAUGGCCGUUCUUAGUCUGUGGAGCGAUUUGUUCGAUUAAUUUCGUUAACAAACGAGACCUGAACCUACUUCCUAGCUAUACCAGGGUACCCUUUCACGGCCAGCUUCUUAGAGGGACUACAGCCUUUUAGGCUGUGAAAGUUUGAGGCAAUAACAAGUGUGUGAUGCCCUUAGAUGUUCUGGACCGCACGCGCGCUACAAUGAUGUAUUCAACGAGUUUAUAGCCUUGGUCAAUAGGUCCGGGUAAUCUUUAAAAUUUCAUCGUUAUGGGGAUAGAUCAUUGCAAUUGUUGGUCGACGGUCCGCUGCCCACGAUGUUACGAGAAGUCCACUAAACCUUAUCAUUUAGAGGAAGGAAAAUUCGUAACAAGAUUUCUGUAGGUAAACCUAUGGAAG